rnacentral:rRNA from 1 species
UACGUAGGAGGCAAGCGUUGUCCGGAAUUACUGGGCGUAAAGCGCGUGUAGGUGGUGGGACAAGUCUGCUGUGAAAGCGCCUGGCUUAACCGGGCGAGGUCGGCGGAAACUGUCCGACUCGAGGACGGUAGAGGGGGGUGGAAUUCCCGGUGUAGUGGUGAAAUGCGUAGAGAUCGGGAGGAACACCUGUGGCGAAGGCGGCCCCCUGGGCCGGCACUGACACUGAGACGCGAAGGCGUGGGGAGCGAACGGG